rnacentral:rRNA from 1 species
GAUGAACGCUGGCGGCGUGCCUAAUACAUGCAAGUCGAGCGAACAGAUGAUGAGCUUUCUCCUCUGACGUUAGCGGCGGACGGGUGAGUAACACGUGGAUAACCUACCUAUAAGAAAGGGGUAACUUCGGGAAACCGUAACAAAUACCCGAUAAUAUAUUGAAUGGCAGGGUUCAAUAUAAAAAGACGGUUUAGCUGUCACUUAUAGAUGGAUCCGCGCCGCAUUAGCUAGUGGGUAAGGUAACGGCUUACCAAGGCAACGAUGCGUAGCCGCCCUCAGGGGGUCAGCGGCCACACGGGAACUGAGACACGGCCCCGACUCCUACGGGAGGCCGCAGUAGGGACUCCUCCGCGAUGGGCGAAAGCCUGACGGAGCACCGCCGCGUGAGUGAUGAAGGUCUUCGGAUCGUAAAACUCUGUUAUUAGGGAAGAACAAAUGUGUAAGUAACUAUGCACGUAUUGACGGUACCUAAUCAGAAAGCCACGGCUAACUACGUG